rnacentral:rRNA from 1 species
UACGUAGGGUGCAAGCGUUAAUCGGAAUUACUGGGCGUAAAGCGUGCGCAGGCGGUUCGCUAAGACAGAUGUGAAAUCCCCGGGCUUAACCUGGGAACUGCAUUUGUGACUGGCGGGCUAGAGUAUGGCAGAGGGGGGUAGAAUUCCACGUGUAGCAGUGAAAUGCGUAGAGAUGUGGAGGAAUACCGAUGGCGAAGGCAGCCCCCUGGGCCAAUACUGACGCUCAUGCACGAAAGGCGUGGGGGAGCAAACAAGG